rnacentral:rRNA from 1 species
GAUGAACGCUGGCGGCGUGCAUAACACAUUCAAGUCGAACGGACAUAUGUUUUCGGAUAUAUGUUAGUGGCGGACGGGUGAGUAACGCGUGAGCAACCUGCCUGUGUGAGUGGAAUAACAUCGGGAAACUGAUGCUAAUACCGCAUAAAGCAUAAUUGUCGCAUGACAGAUAUGCCAAAGAUUUAUCGCACACAGAUGGGCUCGCGUCCGAUUAGGCAGUUGGUGAGGUAAUGGCUCACCAAACCAACGAUCGGUAGCCGGACUGAGAGGUUGAACGGCCAAAUUGGAACUGAGAAACGGUCCAGACUCCUACGGGAGGCAGCAGUGGGGAAUAUUGGGCAAUGGGCGAAAGCCUGACCCAGCGACGCGCGUGAGGGAAGACGGUCUUCGGAUUGUAAACCUCUUUCAGCAGGGAAGAAGAAGUGACGGUACCUGCAGAAGAAGCCACGGCUAACUACGUGCCAGCAGCCGCGGUAAUAC